UUUUUCUGACAAAAGUAGAGUUGAAUACGUCCAAGCAGGCUAACACCUUCAGGAAAGCCAAACACGUGUCUGUGACGUCCUUUGUCGACCAUUUCUCUGCCGUUGCAGGAGCGUCUGGAUGCGGAGGAGCAGCGGUGGCUGCAGGAGAAGGAGAAGGACAUCCUGGCUCCUCUCCUCAUUCGGCUGGACAACACAGAGACUCUGAGCGCCGAAGACGCCAAGCAGCUCCACCAGGACUGUUUGGCCGAGUUUAAACAGAGACUGGUGGAGCACGCCGACCUCAUUCAGGAACGCUAUGAAAAGGAGACACAGGAACUGCAGAGGAAACAGCAGUGGUACCACAAGAAGCAGCUCAACAUGACGGAGCAGCAGGAGGAAGAGUACCAGACCUACUGCUCUGAGAAAACACUACGAAUACAUGCCGCCAAGAAACACCUCAACAUGCACAAGGAAGCAGCUCCUCAAAAGUACCAAACUCUUGAUUGGAAGCUGAAACGAGACCCUCGACUGGCCCCUCACCUGCUCUGCUGAGUCACCUGAAUGUUAUACAUGUGCAUACUUUCCUCUAGAGAAGGAUUUAGAAAUCCUCCUUCGCACAUGCCCAUGUGUUCGGAGCACAACAUGCUGUGCAAAUAAACCUGCAGAAGCAACUUGAUCUGGUGCAGUCGAGCUACAAAGCACAUUAAAGAUAUUUCUAUUGGAGGACUGGAGUAAAUAUAUUAUCUCUAUUAUCUGUACCCCAGGGACAGUCUCAUAUCUGAGGCAGCUGCUGUAUGAAGAGCUCGACACAUUAUUUUAUAUUCCUUUCUUCUUUAUAUAUAUAUAAGAAUAGCAAUCAGAAAAUCUAAACGAAUCAAAUGCAACAACGUCAUGAAUUGAAUUGCAGACAUUCAAUGCCUUCCAUUAUGGAUGUUUCCGAAUAGUGAGACAGGCAGCACACAUGUAUUUAUAAAUGUAUUUUAUUUCACUUCAAACAUUAAAAACUACUUGUAAAUAAAUAAAUGUUAAACAAAUGAUAGUUAAAAACAAAUUCACAGCAAUGUAUCGAUAUAAAAUAACUGACAGCUUCUUCAACAGGUCAGCGUGUUUAUUUCUCCUUAAACAUAAAACACUAUAAAUCAAUCUAAACAAGAACAAAUGAACAAAUAAAAUGAUUUAACGUUGGAAUAAUAUAUCUGUUUUUAAAAUGUAGAGCUGUACAGUUUUGUGCAGGUACAUUUAUAACAGUU